rnacentral:tRNA from 1 species
GCCUUCGUGGUGUAAUGGGGAACACACAUGGCGCGUAUUCGAGAGGUCCGAGGUUCGAAUCCCGGCGAGGGCA